rnacentral:misc_RNA from 1 species
CACCCUCAUCAUACCGCACACUUUCAUCUCUGCACCUCUGCGGUGUGGCAGCUGCUCAGGUCGUGUGGCAUGCCCACCUCGCUGGGUGCCCCAUCCCUCGCCGGCGUAUGUGUAUGCACAUGCGCACAGCUUUGAUACAGUCCAUUGCAUGCGGCUUAGGUAAACGCGCACCACACCUGCAACCAUCUCUCCCCCUUCACCCACGCACACGUGGCAUUCACGCAAGGAGGGCGAACGCAUCGUGCACGCGCGCGUGUGUAUGCCUGUGUGCAUUCUCGUUCCCUGAUGCAGUUGCGUGUGGCGUGAAUUCUUUCAUGUUUUGCUCUCUUCCUGCGUGUGCGUGUGUAUUGCAGGCCUCUUUUCAAGUUUCUUUGCCGCAUCCGCAGCGUUUGUCUGAGCAGUGCGUCGGCAGCUCCCAGCGUUGCGGCACACACCGGCGUACGUGUACGGACGGACGGACGGACGGACGCACACCCACACAGUGACCCGGUGAGUCACCGCUCUGUAAUCGGACUGCCGUCUUUUUCGCUCUUGGACUUCUCUGCACCUACAGUAGCUUGACGCGUGUGUGCGCGUGUGCGUGAGAGAGAAAGAAACUCCUCCGGCGGAGCAGGCCCAUUACCUGCCUGGCACAGACACACAUAUACACACGCACACACGCAGUGUCCCUCGUCUCUUCUUGUAAGCUGCGACCCGGCCGCUGACUUCGCCUUUUCCUUUGCUUUUUCUUGCCUUUCAUCGCAGAGACAUUGCUCAGCAGCGUGCCUGCCUGCUGGUGGAUUCACAGUUUCACAUGUGACGACCUCGCACGUCGUGCCUCACGACCUUCCGUUUUGGGGGCCCUGCUAUCGGCCUGUGUGUUGCAAAAAAAAAAAACGACUCAUGCGCCCGCAUAGCCUCUCGCAGUCCGACGCGAAUGCCGACACCAUGGUAGCCCGCCCAACUAGCCGCACGCGCACUACCGUGGCAGCCGCGUCGCAACAUCCUCGAUCGUCAAGGCUGUCACCGCGGCCGCACGCGCCGCCAGUCGCCAUCCCGAUCUCGCAUCGAUGCGCGGUGACAAAGGUGGGGAGAGAUCGAGAAAGGACACCGCCCAAGCAAGGAGUGUUGGACGACGGCAGCACCCAUGCCACCGCGGCCCGAGGGACGAGUGCAUCCCCAGCUUCCACCUCACGCGGCAGCGACACGCCUCGCGUGCGUGCGAUUGUAAACGCUGCAGCAUCCGUGGCACGCCGACACAUGUCUUCCCUCACCGGAACGACACAGACGACAGCGACAGCGCACCCACAUCGGUGCCCACGCGCUGAGAUGCCCUUGUCGAAGAAGUCGUCGUCGCUGCGCCAGACCAUGCCUUGUUCUCUUCUUCUUUUCGCUGCAGGCCCCAUGCAGGUGCCGUCUAACGCAUGCUUUGGCAACAAACUGGCAACCGUUAGGCGACAGCAUCGAUCCUCUGCGUCGCGCCACACCAAUCAUGCUCCCUCCGUUGCCAUCGUCGGCAACGGCAUCCCACGGCCACCGCCUGCGAGGGUCGACGCAGGUGUUGUGGGGAACGCCAACGAGCCGUUUGCCGAGUACGCGCGGUCGUCCACCUCGCCGGCGCCACGUGCGCACGUCGAGCCCUUCAGCUCUACGCCCAUGUCCUCGUUUGCCAUUUGUCCGUACGUCGCAGCGCCGUCUCACGGCAGCACGACCAUGUCGACGGCACUGCGUCGUCCCCCCACCACCGUCACCGCGCUGCCUGGCAUGGCGCCGUCACCGCCAACCAUCUCCGCAGCAGUGCCACGGAGCGGCCACGGCGCUGCCCGGCGCACGUCCGCACCACUGCGUGUGCAUCCGGCGCAUCGUGGCAGGUCGCAGCCUGGGCUGACUCACUCACUGCCCGCCUACAGCUCUACCGUGACUGCCUCCAUGCCCCACGAGAUUCCGCCGACAUCAGCCCUGAUGCUGCCGUACUGCACUGAUGCCCAACUGCGAAACCUCUUCGCAACGCUCUUCGUGCGCACCGGCGACGCGACGUGGUCGGUGCACCAACACAUUCUGCCCUUCCUGACGGCCCGCCAGCACUGCAUCAUGCCGGCCGCGCCGUCGCAGGUGGCCGCGUUCUUUGGGUUCACCGACCACCGUGACGGAGGCGUGCAUGAAAAGGGGGUCCCCGACCGUGCCGGUGCCCCCCAAGGCGAGCAGGCCUUCUUCGGCGGGCCGUGGACGACUGAGGAGAUGAGCCGCUUCGCUUCGCAGCUUUGCUACUGGUUCGUUUACGUCGGCGUCCUCGGGUGCGGCGAAGAAAUGCGCUGGGACACCUUGCUGAUACCACUCGGAGGCAUCCUAGCUCCAGCUCGCAGGUCACCGGCGCGGAGCGCCUACAGCACGGGCAGCACCUCAGCGCCACAAUCACCCGUGACACGAAGCAGUAGCCCCUCUGUCCACCCAGCUACUCCCGAGAAGCAGUGCUUCUCCCCCAUACCGCGUCGAUCGCUCCGAAACUCCUCAUGCGCGUCUUCAUCGACGCUGGGUGUCGUCGCCCUCACGGAAGGGCCGAAGCAGCACCAGCUCUCGCGCAUGGUGGACCACGAGGGCGCUGACGAUGACGAAGGCGGCCCAAAGAGCACCGUGCUGUAUCACACCGAUCAGCUGGAACGCUCGACCUUGGACGUUGUCACCACCUCGACGCUCAUGUCUGUGGAGUUUCGUGCCGUUGUCGAAGCACCACCGCUGGUGCAAGAGGUGGCGUUCGUGCGCGGCUACAAGGUCCUACAAACCCUCUUGGCAAACCGCGAGGGGCAGCUUGCACACAUGAAAAGUGGUCCCAUGGCGACCAUAUUGCAUGCGCUGUGCACUACUGCUUGGACUGGCAACGGCGCAAACGACAACCUCGAGCACAGUGCAGAUUGCCUUGCCGAGACGCUCCCGCCCGAUAUUCAUGCGGUGCACCGUCGCGUGUGCUUCUACCUCCGCCUGCACGCGUUUGUGCGUGAGCUCUGCGCAUGCCUGCGCGCGCACGAGAGGCGGCCGUGGCAGUGGGAGUCCUAC